rnacentral:rRNA from 1 species
GCUUAUGACCACACCGGCCUGAGUACGCCUGAUCUCGUCUGAUCUCGGAAUCUAAGCAGGGUCGGGCCUGGUUAGUACUUGGAUGGGAGACCGCCUGGGAAUACCAGGUGCUGUAAGCU